UGUUGAAUGCUGCAGUUGGUUGUGUAACUCACCAUUAGAAAUGAAAGUGUCUGUCCUCCUUUUACUUAAAUGCAUUAUAGUCCUCAAGAGGAAAGACUGAAAGAGGCUCAGAUUUAGGAGAACAAGGAGUGUUAAAUUGGC